UAUCGUCAGCUACGAAGAUGGGCUCGAUCCGGUCGUAGAGAUCGAUCUCGUGUUCUUGGACUCUCGGAUCUCUUCCGCUCCAAGGGAGGCGACGGGAUAGCAUCAAGGCGAAACGUGAUCGGGGUCAAUGGGCAACUCGCCCGGCGAUUGGAGCAAAUCAAGAAAGGGGAAGUUGAUAUCGAAGUGAUUACCAGCAGGAUUCAGGAUGAGGAUGAGUUUGACAUUGGGUGGAGACUGUUCGAGAUGGUGGAACGUCAAUGUUGGCAGAAAUUGACCAUGAAAACGGCGCAGUUGCAAAUGUUGGGAUGAGAGAUGAGGUCAAACACCUCAAGAAUUCCUCGACCAAAUCUAGGGUAAGCUGACAGCAUGAUAUAUCAUAUAUGUGCACGGAAUAAAGAUGAGUUGGGAUGGGGGUUUUAAUGUUCAAGAGAAACGUUGGAGGAGCACUCCUACAUUCCAACUCUUGGACUAAGGAUGUUGAUCUUGGGCUCGGAAAAGAUGGACUUUGACAAGGAGAAAGGCUUGCUAGGGUUCUAGGCCAGAUAAAGAUUUGAAGUCUUCCUCGUUCCGGUAUUAGAUGCAAAAAGAAGUAAAUACAUUGUCGUAAAUUAAAAUUCUGCUGAUGUUGGAUGAAAAGAUCGAUUGAUAUUGUGUGAAGAUGUCGGUAUCAUAUAACAGCUUGAAGCCUUGAACAAAUGGAAAUAGGAAGGUUGGCUGGCGCAAAGUCAAUAAGAGAAUUCAUGUUAAGAAAAGACUAUGAAGUGCCACUAAUGAAUUGGAGGACCGAGUAAAGAAUAGCUGAGGGAGAAUUAUAAAUGAAUCAAGUGAAAUGUAAAUAACUAGGUGGCAGAAGAGAUUGACUGGGUUAAUUGAAUCUAUUUGGUUAGUGCUCGUUGCGCAUGGAAUGAUUCCUCCUAACCCAAACAGACAUUGUUCCGAGACAUGGCUUGAACUUCAGAUGAGACUUUUCCAGUCAAAAGCAUGCGUGUGUCAUGCAUCUCCCUGUGACUUUAAAGAAUUCAAAAGCUGCCUGCUUGUUGAGGUGAUAAAAAGGAUUCCCACCAUCAAAAGACUUCAAGCUCAUCAGUCAACUCAGCCUGUUAAAUAUCACCAGAGAUCCUGCAAGAAAGUUCCUGAUGUUACUUUCAGCCACUGGAACUCCAUCGACUCUUGCUGCUGCUGACACCGCACUAACUUAGCUGCUAAGGUUAUGGCAUAGGCAUCUUUCGGCAAAUUUGGUUCUCAUUAUUAAUCCAACAGCUUUCACAGGUUCAGAAGUUGUAAGCAACUCAUUUGUGGAGAAGGGCAGCAUGGACCACUAGUCAUGCAUGCAUCUACAGAUUCUUAUAGAGAGGAAAUACAUGGGUAAGCAUGACUCUUUGUUCUAACUUUGUCCAGUGAAUGAUUGUGACAUGAUGAUGAUAACAAAUUUACUUGGUCAUGCUUACUUAGGCUGUCAAUGGCACUAUAGUUAAUGACUGGCAAGCCCCUCCUGGUCUACCAAGAUUACUGACAUAUCCUUUGUUUGACCUUUCUAAAGAUCAUUGUUUAAGAGCAUAGAGUUGACCAUGCAGCUGGUCAGAAGAGUAAUAUAAACAUAUUUCCAACACUAUCACCACUCAUCAUAUUGUAUUAUUUAGGUCAGGGGAGACUGGAAUUACAAGAAACAAUGAUGAGCAACAAGGAAAGUUAUUACCUAUAGCCAGCUGCAGAUGUCAUGGGCAUCAUAGAUAUGUUAAGAUCAACAUGAGAAUAUUCUGUCUCAGUUUGAUAUUUUUGUAGCUCUUGGAGGUUGUGAUCCCUGAUCAGAACUGUGAAUUCUUAAUGGCUGGACAAGGAGGACCCAUUCUAGCUGACUUGGUGCAUGGAAUCAAACAGAGAUGGGGCUCAGAUCUGAACCAUGAUGCAUCAUCAUGUAGUUUUUUCUCAAGACUGUUUGGAUGAUACCAUCAUCUUGAUCCUAUGGGACCAAGUUUGUCUGGUUUGAGGAAGUAAAAUGGGAACCCAUCAAACUCUUCUACUGCUUUACUAAUGUUUCAGGAUUCAUUAGAAAUCAGAAAAAAGCUUUUCCCGACUAACUCUCUUCAUCUCAGAUUUCUGUGCCAGUUUUUGUCACUGCCACAUGAAUGCGUCACAAUGAUUAAAAGUGCAGGUCGCUUGGAGCCACCAUCUGUUUGAACCUUACCUCAUCAGGCUGCUGCAUAUGGAUCUCCAUCAUGGCUUGUGUUCCUUCUCCAGAGGUGCAGAGAUGAGGAAGAAGUACUACUGCAUCUUCUUUUUAAUGCAGUUGCCUCUGUGUGUGUGUGUGCGCGCGCGCCUGAGAUCACCCAUGUGUUGCUGACUCACAUAGAUUCCUUGUGGUGGCCCAGUGGAAGCAUUGAGUUCUUUGGUGUAUACACAUGAUUCCAAAAUCACAAAGCUACUUUUGUGACAGGGCUUAAAAGCAAGGGAGGCAACAUCCACCAUGGCUGGAGAGAAUGAGGUUGCUUGGGUCCCUCCAAAGGUUUUAAAAGCCUGACCAUGAAAUGCCAAUGGUAAAAGAGAAAGGUACAUUAGCUGUUCCUUCACCAGAAAGAGGAUUUAUUACAUCUGAUUCAAAAAGAUAUAUAGCAUUUUACAUUUCAAAGGUUGGAUAUAGCACAUUUGCCCCUCAAAACAUAGUGUCCCAUUUUUGUAUCCUUUUGACUAUUUAGAUAUUGCAUAAUCCCUUAAUAACUUUUACUUGUCAUUUGAUUCUUGAUUUUUUAAACUUAA